ensembl:lncRNA
UUUUAUUCGAAGGACAGCAAUGAAGUGGUAAAGUUUAAGCAAGUAUGUUUAGGGAUUGGUUAAAUAAAGGAAAGUAAUUACAAUUUGUUAAGGUGAGAUUGGGAUUCAAACCAGUGACCUUGUGUAUGGCAACCCAUAUCAACCUUUUAUAAUCAGAUACUUAGACAUUACAGGAACCUCUCCAUUCAUCACCAAAACAUACUUCAUUAAUUACAACAACAAAAUCUGUUGAACCUGCUGAUGUUAAACAUUGUUGAUAUUUUUUCAGUCCAAUGAGUCAAUGAUUGUUGUGCAUGAAAACAUUUACAGUUCAAUACGCCUUGUACAAUGGAUCUGCAUUUAUCAACAAAACACAAGUAAGUUUAAGUCUCUAGUGAUAUUACCAAUUACCGAUACAAUGGAUUCAUUCUCCUCCGGAGCAACAGACAGUCCUGUUUCAACUUCCAUUACUUAACAUUUGAUUAUUUCAUACUUUUCUUUCAGCUGGAGGUAACGGACAAAGAACUUGCUUAUGAUCCUUAUAUAAAAAUACUUCAAUUGAACUUCAUCAUCCCUGAUAAUUUGACUCCACUUUUGCUCAAAACCUUGACUCUAACACCCAGAUGUGUAAUGGAUACUGGUCUUCAAAAAGUGUUCUUUGUCCGAGUAUCUGUUGAGGAUAAUGGUAAGAUUCAGGAGUGCGUCUUCUUAAAUAAAUGCUUUUAGGUCUACCAUAAAAUUCUAUUUAAAAUGUACAUUUGCUGACUAUGAUAACACAACUGUUUUUGCAUAAUGCAAGAGUGCUCGUACACAAGCGUGCACACACACACACACACACAUACACACACACACACAGACACCUAAGAAAGAGGAAGUGUUCUGUGACUGAAAGAUUGCGGAUUUUUCCAAAACGUGUUUCCUUGUUCUUCUCCUGCAGGUGAUCUUGGCUCUCCCUCCAUCACACUUUUGACAGGCCCUUCCAGUCAGGUUUCCUCAAGCUGUAGGAAACCCCUUUUUCACGGUGAGUGAAGUCGACUUUUGUUCAUUUAUCACUUACUGUGGUCAUUGUACACUGUGGUCAUUGUGGACUGUGGUCAUUGUGGACUGUGGUCAUUGUACACUGUGGUCAUUGUGCAGUGUGGUCAUUGUGGACUGUGGUCAUUGUGCAGUGUGGUCAUUGUGCACUGUGGUCAUUGUACACUAUGGUCAUUGUGCAGUGUGGUCAUUGUGCAGUGUGGUCAUUGUGCACUGUGGUCAUUGUACACUAUGGUCAUUGUGCAGUGUGGUCAUUGUGCAGUGUGGUCAUUAUACACUGGUCACUGUACACUGUGGUCAUUGUGCAGUGUGGUCAUUAUACACUGUAGUCAUUGUGCAGUGUGGUCAUUGUGGACUGUGGUCAUUGUGCAGUGUGGUCAUUAUACACUGUUGUCAUUGUUCAGUGUGGUCAUUGUGCAGUGUGGUCAUUAUACACUGUUAUCAUUGUGCAGUGUGGUCAUUGUGUACUGUGGUCAUUGUGGACUGUGGUCACUGUGCAGUGUGGUCAUUGUGGACUGUGGUCAUUGUACGGUGUGGUAAUUGUACACUGUGGUCAUUGUACACUGUGAUCAUUGUACACUGUGGUCAUUGUACACUGUGAUCAUUGUGGACUGUGGUCAUUGUACGGUGUGGUAAUUGUACACUGUGGUCAUUGUGCAGUGUGGUCAUUAUACACUGUAGUCAUUGUGCAGUGUGGUCAUUGUGGACUGUGGUCAUUGUGCAGUGUGGUCAUUGUACACUGUUGUCAUUGUGCAGUGUGGUCAUUGUGCAGUGUGGUCAUUAUACACUGUUAUCAUUGUGCAGUGUGGUCAUUGUGUACUGUGGUCAUUGUGGACUGUGGUCAUUGUGCAGUGUGGUCAUUGUGUACUGUGGUCAUUGUGGACUGUGGUCAUUGUGCAGUGUGGUCAUUGUGGACUGUGGUCAUUGUACGGUGUGGUAAUUGUACACUGUGGUCAUUGUACACUGUGAUCAUUGUACACUGUGGUCAUUGUACACUGUGAUCAUUGUGGACUGUGGUCAUUGUACGGUGUGGUCAUUGUACACUGUGGUCAUUGUACACUGUGAUCAUUGUGGACUGUGGUCAUUGUACGGUGUGGUAAUUGUACACUGUGGUCAUUGUGCAGUGUGGUCAUUGUGGACUGUGGUCAUUGUACACUGUGGUCAUUGUACACUGUGGUCAUUGUACACUGUGAUCAUUGUGGACUGUGGUCAUUGUACGGUGUGGUAAUUGUACACUGUGGUCAUUGUACACUGUGAUCAUUGUGGACUGUGGUCAUUGUACGGUGUGGUAAUUGUACACUGUGGUCAUUGUGGACUGUGGUCAUUGUACACUGUGUACAUUGUGGACUGUGGUCAUUGUACAUGAUGGGUAUUGAACACGGUGGUCUUUGUACACAGUGUACAUUGUGGACUGUGGUCAUUGUGGACUGUGGUCAUUGUACACUGUGGUCUAUGUGCAGUGUGGUCAUUGUACACUGUGAUCAUUGUGGACUGUGAUCAUUGUGGACUGUGGUCAUUGUGGACUUGGGGUUGGACAGGUCCACUGCUUUAUUACUGAGCAGGACAAAAUUUGGAUGACCCAGUAUUCCUGAGGGAGGAGAACAAUGAGAGAGAAAGAGUUGAAGACUCUAUGCUAUAUAUGCUGUAUGCUAUAUAUGCUAUAUGCCCUAUUUGCUGUUUCCGAGGUCAGUUUAGCAUUUCCUCCAGUAAUUGUUAAGGUGAGGAUUGGGGUAGGGGGAUCUGAUCCUAGAUCUGUACCUAAGGGAACCUUCACCAGGAGCGUGUAUGGAUGUCAUGUGGCUUGAAAAAAGGUUUACAUUAAAUGAUAGCCAUUUAGCAGACUUUGUUAUACGGAACAACUCGAUUUAAGUGCCUUGCCUAAUCGAGGACACAUCAGAUUCUUCAUCUUGUCGAUUCAGGGAUUCAAACCAGCAACCUUUUUAGUUACUGGCUCAACGCUCUUUACUGCUUGGCUACCUGCGGCCCUAUCAAAUCAAAUCAAAUUUUAUUUGUCACAUACACAUGGUUAGCAGAUGUUAAUGCGAGUGUAGCGAAAUGCUUGUGCUUCUAGUUCCGACAAUGCAGUAAUAACGAACAAGUAAUCUAACUAACAAUUCCAAAAAAACUACUGUCUUAUACACAGUGUAAGGGGAUAAAGAAUAUGUACA